AUACGGAGGGGGCUAGCGUUGUUCGGAAUUACUGGGCGUAAAGCGCGCGUAGGCGGAUCGUUAAGUCAGGGGUGAAAGCCCGGAGCUCAACUCCGGAACUGCCCUUGAUACUGGCGAUCUCGAGUCCGGGAGAGGUGAGCGGAAUUCCUAGUGUAGAGGUGAAAUUCGUAGAUAUUAGGAGGAACACCAGUGGCGUAGGCGGCUCACUGGCCCGGUACUGACGCUGAGGUGCGAAAGCGUGGGGAGCGAACAGGAUUAGAAACCCUAGUAGUCC
rnacentral:rRNA from 1 species